rnacentral:lncRNA from 10 species
GCGGCCGUUGCGGCUCCCGCGGCCCGGGCGCGCGGCUUAGGCCCCAGGACAGUCACGCGACGGGUUCUGGUCCAAAAACCGCCUAAGUGCUCCGAUAACACCCAGGGACUCGCCUAUUUUUACAGCGCGUUUCUACUUCCAAGCUUGCAGGGCACAGUGGCUCACGCCUGUAAUCCCAGCACUUUGGAAGGCCAACGCAGGAGGAUCGCUUGAGCCCAGGAGUUUGAGACCAGCUUGCGCAGCUCCCACUUAUGAGUGAGAACAUAAGCUGUUUGGUGUUUCCAUUCCUGAGUUACUUCACUUAGAAUAAUAGUCUCCAAUUCCAUCCAGGUUGCAGAAAUAAGAUAUGUGGAACGGAGUUAUGUAUCAAAACCCACUUUGAAGGAAGUGGUCAUAGUAAGUGCUACAAGAACACCCAUUGGAUCUUUUUUAGGCAGCCUUUCCUUGCUGCCAGCCACUAAGCUUGGUUCCAUUGCAAUUCAGGGAGCCAUUGAAAAGGCAGGGAUUCCAAAAGAAGAAGUGAAAG